UAAGACACGACUUAGUACCCUUUUGGCGAAAACUACUGUCAAAACUAUAAGGAACGAGUGACCUUCGCGUGAAGCGUAAAUAGACAUCCAUGAUGUCAGUCAACGGACGCUUCUUGCAUGGCAUCCGAUGGGUCUAAGGAUGCUCAUGUUGACUGACUAUGUAACUACUGUGGCCUGAUUUACAAGUUAUACAUGGAUUAUGACAAGUCGCGAACGAAA
rnacentral:sRNA from 12 species